AUUGAACGCUGGCGGCAGGCUUAACACAUGCAAGUCGAGCGGGGGAGGUUGCUUCGGUAACUGACCUAGCGGCGGACGGGUGAGUAAUGCUUAGGAAUCUGCCUAUUAGUGGGGGACAACAUUCCGAAAGGCAUGCUAAUACCGCAUACGCCCUACGGGGGAAAGCAGGGGAUCUUCGGACCUUGCGCUAAUAGAUGAGCCUAAGUCGGAUUAGCUAGUUGGUGGGGUAAAGGCCUACCAAGGCGACGAUCUGUAGCGGGUCUGAGAGGAUGAUCCGCCACACUGGGACUGGAACACGGCCCAGACUCCUACGGGAGGCAGCAGUGGGGAAUAUUGGACAAUGGGCGGAAGCCUGAUCCAGCCAUGCCGCGUGUGUGAAGAAGGCCUUUUGGUUGUAAAGCACUUUAAGCGAGGAGGAGGCUCUUAAGGUUAAUACCCUUGAUGAGUGGACGUUACUCGCAGAAUAAGCACCGGCUAACUCUGUGCCAGCAGCCGCCGUAACAC
rnacentral:rRNA from 1 species